AUUGAACGCUGGCGGCAGGCUUAACACAUGCAAGUCGAGCGAGCGGCGGACGGGUGAGUAAUGUCUGGGAAACUGCCUGAUGGAGGGGGAUAAAUACUGGAAACGGUAGCUAAUACCGCAUACCAUCAGAUGUGCCCAGAUUGGAGUAGCUAGUCGGUGGGUUAAUGGCUCACCUAGGCGAAGAUCCCUAGCUUGUCUGAGAGGAUGACCAGCCACACGGGAACUGAGAAACGGUCCAGACGCCUCCGGGAGGCAGCAUGGGGGAAUAUUGCACAAUGGGCGCAAGCCUGAUGCAGCCAUGCAGCGUGUGUGAAGAAGGCCUUCGGUUUGUAAAGCACUUUCAGCGAGGAGGCGUUACUCGCAGAAGAAGCACCGGCUAACUCCGUGCCAGCAGCCGCGGUAAUUC
rnacentral:rRNA from 1 species